rnacentral:rRNA from 1 species
UACGUAGGGGGCGAGCGUUGUCCGGAAUCAUUGGGCGUAAAGGGCGCGUAGGUGGCUGGGCAAGCGUGCGGUGAAAGCCCGGGGCUCAACCCCGGGUCGGCCGUGCGAACUGGAAAGCUCGAGCCCACUAGAGGCAGGCGGAAUUCCGGGUGUAGCGGUGGAAUGCGUAGAGAUCCGGAAGAACACCGGUGGCGAAGGCGGCCUGCUGGGGUGGAGCUGACGCUGAGGCGCGACAGCGUGGGGAGCAAACAGG